rnacentral:rRNA from 1 species
AUUGAACGCUGGCGGCAGGCCUAACACAUGCAAGUCGAGCGGAUGAAGGGAGCUUGCUCCUGGAUUCAGCGGCGGACGGGUGAGUAAUGCCUAGGAAUCUGCCUGGUAGUGGGGUAUAACGUCCGGAAACGGGCGCUAAUACCGCAUACGUCCUGAGGGAGAAAGUGGGGGAUCUUCGGACCUCACGCUAUCAGAUGAGCCUAGGUCGGAUUAGCUAGUUGGUGGGGUAAAGGCCUACCAAGGCGACGAUCCGUAACUGGUCUGAGAGGAUGAUCAGUCACACUGGAACUGAGACACGGUCCAGACUACUACGGGAGGCAGCAGUGGGGAAUAUUGGACAAUGGGCGAAAGCCUGAUCCAGCCAUGCCGCGUGUGUGAAGAAGGUCUUCGGAUUGUAAAGCACUUUAAGUUGGGAGGAAGGGCAGUAAGUUAAUACCUUGCUGUUUUGACGUUACCAACAGAAUAAGCACCGGCUAACUUCGUG